rnacentral:rRNA from 1 species
UACGUAGGUGGCGAGCGUUAUCCGGAAUUACUGGGCGUAAAGCGCACGCAGGCGGUUUCUUAAGUUUGACGUGAAAACUCCUGGCUUAACUGGGAGAGGUCGUUGAAGACUGGGGAACUUGAGGCAAUGAGAGGGAUGUAGAAUUCACGGUGUAGUGGUGGAAUGCGUAGAUAUCGUGAGGAAUACCAGUGGCGAAAGCGGCUUCCUGGUCCAGCACCGACGUUCAGGCACGAAAGCGUGGGGAGCAAACAGG